rnacentral:rRNA from 1 species
AGUGAACGCUGGCGGUAGGCCUAACACAUGCAAGUCGAACGGCAGCACAGUAAGAGCUUGCUCUUACGGGUGGCGAGUGGCGGACGGGUGAGGAAUACAUCGGAAUCUACUUUUUCGUGGGGGAUAACGUAGGGAAACUUACGCUAAUGCCGCAUACGACCUACGGGUGGAAGCAGGGGAUCUUCGGACCUUGCGCGAUUGAAUGAGCCGAUGUCGGAUUAGCUAGUUGGCGGGGUAAAGGCCCACCAAGGCGACGAUCCGUAGCUGGUCUGAGAGGAUGAUCAGCCACACUGGAACUGAGACACGGUCCAGACUCCUACGGGAGGCAGCAGUGGGGAAUAUUGGACAAUGGGCGCAAGCCUGAUCCAGCCAUACCGCGUGGGUGAAGAAGGCCUUCGGGUUGUAAAGCCCUUUUGUUGGGAAAGAAAAGCAGCAGGUUAAUACCCCGCUGUUCUGACGGUACCCAAAGAAUAAGCACCGGCUAACUUCGU